rnacentral:lncRNA from 1 species
GCGGCAACGGGAGGCCUUCGAAGCGGGGCGGAACGCUUGCCGGUAGCGGCGGGCCCCGCGCAGACUUGGGAGUAUCUGAUGGCUGCCUAAUAAAUUUAACAGCUACGCCUGCAAGCUCUGUCCUAGAUCCCACGUUAUUCUCCUGGGACAUUGGACAGAUCUUACUUCAAAAGAGAGCUGAAAAGGAAGAGGAACUGAAAAAAGCAUUUCAGAUGCUUGAUGUUGGUUGGACCCUGACAGUCACAAAGGGUGAAUUCAGGAGAGUGAUUGGAACCUUUCUCUUCCAUCUAACAGAAGCUGAAUUUGAUGCUGUGCUGGCAGAGGUUGAACAGCCAGAGUCGCCAAACAAUGACAUUAAGUCAGCUGGAAACCCUGCUCAAAGAGAAGCACUAAUCUGCCAGAAAAUAAAAGAGAAGGAACAGAAGCAGAAAAAACUUUUUCUCCAGUCUUCACCAGCAAACGUUUUCCUACAGCCAUCACCAGCUGAGCGUGCUGUGACAGAGCACGGUCUGGAUAGCACCGAGAGGCAUUUAGAGAAAAGAUUUGGACUGAAAGCCACAGGUAAAAUUGCUUGGCAACAAUUUUUAGAAAAUUUCCAGGAUCCUGGAAGCACCUUUGAAAACAGGCAGAUGAUUCCUAUGAGAAAAACACAUAAAGUAAAUCCAGCCAGAGGAGAUGAAGCUUUCUCCAGUGACACUGUUCUUCAGAAGCUGCACAGAUACAUCCAAGAUGCUUAUCCCCCUUUAAAGCAGGCAUUCCUUAUGCUUGAUGAACAAUGGAAUAUUCACAACCAGCUCUUCUAG